rnacentral:rRNA from 1 species
UGCCAGCCGCCGCGGUAAUACGGAGGGUGCAAGCGUUGUUCGGAAUUAUUGGGCGUAAAGCGCGUGUAGGCGGUUCGUUAAGUCUGAUGUGAAAGCCCGGGGCUCAACUUCGGAACUGCCAUUAAAACUGUUUAUCUUGAAUUUGGUUGAAGUGGGCGGAAUAUGACAUGUAGCGGUGAAAUGCAUAGAUAUGUCAUGGAACACCAAUAGUGAAGACAGCUCACUAAGCCAAUAUUGACGCUGAGGUACGAAAGCAUGGGUAGCGAACAGGAUUAGAUA